ensembl:lncRNA
GGUACCAGACACUCUAAAUCACUAGAUGGCACCGGACACUCUAAAUCACAGGAUGGUACCAGACACUCUAAAUCACAGGAUGGUACCAGACACUCUAAAUCACUAGAUGGUACCAGAGACUGAUUAAAUCACAGGAUGGUACCAGACACUCUAAAUCACAGGAUGGUACCAGACACUCUAAAUCACAGGAUGGUACCAGACACUCUAAAUCACUAGAUGGUACCAGACACUCUAAAUCGCAGGAUGGCACCGGACACUCUAAAUCACAGGAUGGUACCGGACACUCUAAAUCACAGGAUGGUACCAGACACUCUAAAUCACUAGAUGGCACCAGUUUCUCAUCUUUGCCUUCUGUCUUCCUCCAAGCAGCUUUAUUCAAUUGGGACCAAGUUCCCUCUUCAAUAUGAGUAAAUCCAGCAUGGAGGCUGAUAUCAAUGUCAUAAUUCAC